UGAAGAAACAGUUACAGAGAAGUGACAGGACCUGCUGCAUCACCUGUGUGAUGCAACUGACACAGUGAAUCACAGCUUCACUGUAACCAAGCACCUUGGCCAACAUGCUUCCUGUGACCUGAUCUUACCUGCAGAGUAGUUUGGGCUGGACAAGCAAACAGAGGGCUAAAGAAGCCCAGCAAGAGAGUCAUACCGACCAAUGAGACGGAUUUAAAGACAAAAGCUUACUGAGAAGCUGUUGAAAGAUGAAACUGGAGACAAAAUUAUCCUAUGUGUAAAGA